GGGAGAAGCAGGCUCCCUGCAGAGCAGGGAGCCCGAUGUGGAAUUCAAUCCCAGGACCCUGGGACCCUGAGCCGAAGGCAGACACUUAACCAUCUGAGCCACCCAGGCACCCUGGGAAUGUGUUCUGAAAGGCAGUUUGAAGAUCAAUACCAUUGUCCCAACUGCAACAGCUUAAAGUCAUAUUGGGAUUUGUUUUGUCUAGUAUUACCUGGAACAAGUAGGCAGUUAUUUAAGACUUCCCUUUUUCAUCUUACAAUUUUUAUUUGUAAUAGUUUGGUUUAUUGGUAUCCUUAUGUUGUGUUUAUGUGUCCUUAAGUGAUAUUUAAUAUAGUAAUAAUGUAAUGGGUUUGGGUGUUUGGGUUUUUGUUUGUUUGUUUUUGUAGUUGUCCCAUGUAUUACCUCCCUAAAGUACCUUGACUUCUCUUUUGAAAGGAAGCAAAUGCCAUGAUCUCUGGCCUUUUAUCUUUUCCUGGAUUAAAAGGAGAAAGGAGGAAGCAGUAGACAUCCAUUAAACCCAGCUUCUAUCCCAUUUGAAUGUAUGCCUUGGAUUAUGUCUAUUGGUCUUUCAGUUUUCCUGGAAAUUCUGACACUAGAGGCAGAAGUAUUUAUUUAUAUGGGAAAGGCUAGCUAGCUGAUCAGUGGCAGUGGGGAAAAGACGUGCAUGCAGGGGACUGUUCAUUGUGCGGUGCAUUGCCUUUGAAUAGAGAUUAUAGUCCAAAAAAGAAUUGGAGAUCUUUUUUUGAGAUACUUGAAUCUCAUCCUCCCUCCCUCCCAGUUCCUUGUGAGGGUACACAGGCCUUUCUGGUUCUGCAGGUGUUUGCUGCUAAGGGCCUUUCACUUAAAUACUAGGAACUUCACAUCAGGGCUGGAUGCUUAAAAUACAGUUGGGCCAGGGCUGGGGUGCGGGGGGAGGCGGUUGGUAGCAGAGGACAAGGUGAGGCUGAGAGGAAGCAUGGGGCAAGUACCAAGGCCCUUGAAUGAGGAAACUAGGGAGGAGCGGACUUAAGUCACAACCACAUAAGGAUUUGGUUUCUACACAGAUUACUUAUUUCAGUCAGCUUUAUUCCAUAGGCCAUUAAUGACUUCUUUGGCCCUAGUAAAAGAAACCUAUAAUACCAGAUAUGCUACUGGAGUUUUCUGCUUGGAAAAUAAGUAUUUCCUUGCUAGUAUGUUGGAUAGCUGAAGAGUCAGGUGAAAUCCAAAGAAUAAGGAUUAGGGAAAUUAAUUUAUUACUGAUUUUGCAUGACCAAACAGGUAAAUCAGUGCUUCUCAAGUGGUCCUUGGGCCACUUACAUAUAAAUCACCUGGCUCACCCUUUAAUUCAGGGUCCCAACCCCCAGACUUCUUAAUCAGAAUGUCUGAAGAAUUCCAGGAACUUGCAGCAUUACCUAUUUGGAAAUGAUUCUUAGGCAUACUGAGUUUUGAGAACACUCAUUAUAAAAUGUGCCGACUGCCUAUAGCUAUUAGAAGUUAAACCCUUCCUCACCUUUCUACUCAUUCAGUUUUGUAGCUUACUGGCACAUUUAAUUUUAAUUCUUAAUAGGUUAAACAUUUUCUUCUUCCUCUCAGAGAAGGACCUGAAGAACCUGGCUACCUUUCAGAGCUGUCUGACGGUUUGGCUUUAUUCUCACAUUUGAACUUGAGGUCCAAAUUAGUUUAUUUAGAUCUGAUAUAGUAACCAUUGCCAUAGUUUGCAAUCUGUUUGCCUUCUAUCUUUCUAUUCAUAAUAUGUUUUUAUUAGUAAACCAGAAUUUAACCUCUUAGAGUGAAGAAUUUGGUGGAAUGAAAAUAGUGAGCAGCCCUGUUUUUAGCCAGACUCUAAUUUUUCCUUCCUUCCUCAUUGUCCUAUCUGUGCACCCUGCUUCUCAAUAUCCA